rnacentral:misc_RNA from 1 species
CUUUUUUUUUUUAAUUUUGAUUUUUCAAAAACCGUCCGGCAUGGAAAAUAAAUGAUUUCCUUCUUUUUAGUGUCCUUUAUAUUUCUCCUCUUUCUAAAUUUCUCUCUCUGUAAUGCUCUCAUUCAUUGAAAAAAAUGGCUUCCAAUUCUACCGGCAGAACGACGUCGUUGUCCUCUCACAGAGCUGACAGACACCAGCAGCAGCAGCAACUUCCUUCUUCUGUUGGAUCUUCUUCUGCUUCUUCGUCUUCGAAUUCUAGUUCAAGAAAUGUGACACAGCAGAAUCCCAACCAUCACUCUCUUCGCUCUAAGGCUCCCGCUUCUUCACGCCGCUCUGUUACCCCUACUUCUCGUUCUUAUUCUUCUCACAAUGAUGACGAUAACGAUCCUGGAAGGGUGAGAGUUGCUGUCAGACUACGACCAAGAAACGCUGAAGAUCUUAUUUUGGACUCCGACUUUUCUGAUUGCGUCGAAUUGCAGCCAGAGCUGAGAAGGUUGAAAUUGAGGAAAAACAACUGGAGUUCUGAAUCAUAUAAAUUUGAUGAAAUAUUUACCGAAAAUGCCUCUCAAAAGCGUGUUUAUGAAGCAGUAGCAAAACCUGUUGUUGAGGGUGUACUGAAUGGAUAUAAUGGGACAGUUAUGGCUUACGGUCAGACAGGUACCGGAAAAACUUAUACGGUUGGCAGAUUGGGCAAAAAUGAUGCAUCUGAGCGUGGUAUCAUGGUUAGAGCUCUAGAAGACAUACUUGCUAAUGCAAAUCCUGCUUCUGAUAUUGUUGAAGUCUCCUAUUUGCAGUUGUAUAUGGAAUCUAUACAAGAUUUGCUUGCGCCAGAGAAGAUUAAUAUCCCUAUUAAUGAGGACCCAAGGACAGGGGAUGUGUCAUUACCUGGUGCUAUGGUGGUCAGAGUUCGUGAUCUUGAUCAUUUUUUUGAACUACUGCAAAUUGGUGAGGCAAAUCGACAUGCUGCUAAUACAAAGCAGAACACAGAAUCUUCACGCAGUCAUGCAAUUCUAAUGGUUUAUGUACGAAGAUCCAUCCAUCAAAAGUUAGAUGAAAUCAAUUCUCAAGAUAUGACAACUGAUUUGGCUGGUGGCAAUGGCAUUCCUAGAGUUAGAAAAAGCAAGCUGCUGAUUGUUGAUCUUGCUGGAUCCGAAAGAUUGGAUAAAUCUGGCAGUGAAGGUCGGUUGCUAGAGGAGACUAAGUUCAUUAAUCUUUCUCUAACUUCCCUUGGCAAAUGCAUAAAUGCAUUGGCUGAAAACUGUCCACACAUACCUACAAGGGAUUCUAAGCUGACCAGAUUGCUGCGUGAUUCAUUCGGAGGCUCCUCGCGGACUUCUCUUAUAAUAACAAUUGGGCCAUCUUCACAGCAUCAUGCAGAGACGACCAGCACAAUUAUGUUUGGGCAACGGGCAAUGAAAAUAGUAAACAUGCUUAAGCUUAAAGAAGAAUUUGACUAUGAAAGUCUAUGUCGGAAACUUGAGAUUCAAGUAGAUCACCUUACUGUAGAAAUAGAAAGGGAACGGAAAUUGAGAGAGAGUGAAAAAUAUGACUUGGAAAAGCAGCUCAAAGAAUGUCAAGACUCGUUUGCUCAAACAAUGAAGAAUCUAGUCACAAGGUCUGAGUUUUUAGAGAAGGAAAAUUCUCAACUGGAAUUGGAGAUGAAAGACAUCUUAAAUGAAUUGGACCAUCAAAAGGGUCAGAAUGAUUUAAUGCAUGGUAAAAUUGAACAGCUGGACAUGAGUUUGAAACAUAGCCAGAACAAAAGCAGGAGCUUACUUGUUGAGUGCAGAAAAUGUACCAGUGAAGACCUUUUAGAUAUAAAUUAGGGUGGACAACCUGCAAUGCUGAAGCCAUCAUGAGGAUAGCAGCAACAGCAGCUGGAAAAUUCUACCAAUCAGAAAGUACUUGCUGACACCACUCAGAUGUAUGAAAAGAAAAUAUCAGACCUAAACAGGCAGCUUGAAGACAAGCAUGCUCAUUGUGAAAGCUCAGAGGAACAACUAAAUUUGAUGAUGAAGCUCCUGAAUGAUGGUCAAAGAUCAAUUAAGCAACAUGAGGCAGAAAACUCCACAUAUCAGAAAGCACUUGCAGACACCACUCAGAUGUAUGAGAAGAAAAUGGCAGAGUUAAAUAAGCAGCUAGAAGAUGAACAUGCCCAUACUAGAAGUGUUGAGGAACAAUUAGAUAUGACGAAGAAGCUCCUAAGUGAUAGUCAAAAGUUAAAUCAGCAAAGGGAGGUGGAAAAUUCUAUGUAUCAAAAAGCACUUGCAGAAACCACACAGCUUUAUGAGAAGAAAAUAGCAGACCUAGUUAACCAAUUAGAGGAUGAGCAUGCCCAUUUUGAAGGAGUGGAAGAACAACUGGAUCUAGCCAAGAAGCUUCUACGUGAUCAACAAGACGCAAUUAAGGAUCUGGAAGGGAUUGAAGAACUAAGGGGCAUGUUACAAGAAAUGUAUCAGCUACAUGAAAUCACUCAAACUGAACUCCAGUCCUUGAAGUCAGACAACAAUGAGCUGUUGCAUGAGAAGGCAACAAUAAAUGAAGAAGUUAGUGACCUGAAGCGAAGACUUUCAGUUGAAAUAAAGCAAAGGAAGAGCAUUGAACAUGAGCUGGCCAAACUAAAGACGAGUGAACCUGAAAGUGACAAUAAAUUUGAGGAUAAGCAAUCAUACAUGAAGGAAAAAGUUGGUAAAGGAUCACACAAGUCAAAUCCUUCAAGGGAGAUACUAUCUGGUCAGAGGGCUACAAUUGCUAAGAUAUGUGAAGAAGUUGGACUGCAAAAGAUACUACAGUUGUUGAUGUCUGAAGACUCUGAUGUCCAAACCCAUGCAGUGAAAGUGAUUGCCAAUCUUGCUGCUGAAGAUAUUAAUCAAGAGAAGAUUGUGGAGGAAGGAGGGUUAGAUGCAUUGCUUAUGCUGUUGAAAUCGUCACAAAAUGCAACUAUACUUAGAGUGGCUUCUGGGGCCAUAGCCAAUUUGGCAAUGAAUGAAAUGAAUCAGGGGUUAAUAAUGAGCAAAGGUGGUGCACGACUGCUUGCAGUGACAGCAUCCAAAACAGAUGAUUCACAAACUCUUAGAAUGGUAGCUGGUGCACUAGCUAAUUUAUGUGGAAAUGAAAGGUUACAUAUGAUGCUGAAAGAAGAUGGAGGCAUAAAGGCGCUCUUGGAAAUGGCAAGAUCCAAGAAUAAUGAUGUUGUUGCACAAGUUGCAAGGGGUAUAGCUAAUUUUGCAAAAUGCGAAUCUCGAGGCAUACUUCAAGGACACAAAAAGGGCCGUUCACUACUAAUGGAAGAUGGUGCUCUUGAAUGGUUAAUUGCCUACUCUAACACUACUUCGGUGUCAACCAGGCGCCAUGUUGAGCUUGCUCUUUGUCAUUUGGCUCAAAAUGAGGACAAUGUCAAGGAUUUCAUUUCUGGAGGAGGUGUUAAAGAACUUGUACGAAUAUCAGUUGAAUCUAGUAGGGAAGAUAUCCGUAACCUUGCAAAGAAGACCCUGAAAAUGAACCCAACAUUUCAAGCUGAUAUACGUUGGGAGUAGCAGUAAAUUGUCAAGCUUUCAUACUCUCCCCCUAAUAGUAUAAUGCUUGGGUACAAAAUCAAUAGUAAAUUUGGCAGAAAAUUCUCUGAUAAUUUUUUGAACAGCUGUCCUGGCAAUUUUCGUUUUUCUUGGGCUUAAGAUCUAAAUUAGACCCUCAACUUUCACCAAAUAUGCAGUGUGACAUGUAUAGUUCAAUUGUAUCAAUUAAGCCCUUCAAUGUGUCGGUCAUUAGCGCACUAUUAGAAGAGCAUAUAACUUGAAGGGGAAAUGGCUAAAAAAUCUAGAACUUUAUUGUGCUCUAAAACUUUUAUUAUUAUUAUUAUUAUUAU